AAAGUAUUUAUGGUCUUGUCCUUCAUAGAAAGAAUUUACAGAUCUCUGAAUAAAUGGCAGUCAGGAUUGAAUCUGACGUCCAAAGCCAGAUCUGGUUCUGUGCAAUCGGGGACCAUCCAAAGCCUGGAAAAGAAUGUACGAGACCUUUCAAGGAUCUUUUCAGGAGCUCACAGAAGACUAAGCAUGGCUGCAUCAGCUUCUCAGUGAGAGGGUAUUUGCCACGUCUGAAGACAUGUUAGUUGUCACAGCUGCAGAGAAUGAAUGCUUUUGGCAUUUAUUGGGAAAGGCCAAGUAUGCCAUUAAACAUUUCACAAUGCACAGGACAAUGCUCAGGACAGUGCCCAGUGACAAAGAAUUACAAUACAUAGCCCCAAGUGAUGCUAGUGUCAAAGUUGAGAAACCCUGCCUAAUAUGACACACCUUUUCUGCCUCUGGAUAUUUGUAUAGGGUGUUUCUUCUGCCU
rnacentral:lncRNA from 1 species